rnacentral:rRNA from 1 species
UACGUAGGGGGCGAGCGUUGUCCGGAUUUAUUGGGCGUAAAGAGCUCGUAGGCGGUUUGGCAAGUCGGGUGUGAAAACUCCGGGCUCAACUCGGAGACGCCACUCGAUACUGCCAUGACUCGAGUCCGGUAGGGGAGUGCGGAAUUCCUGGUGUAGCGGUGAAAUGCGCAGAUAUCAGGAGGAACACCGGUGGCGAAGGCGGCCCGCUGGGCAGUUGCUGACACUGAGGCGCGACAGCGUGGGGAGCAAACAGG